UACGUAGGGUGCAAGCGUUGUCCGGAAUUAUUGGGCGUAAAGAGCGUGUAGGCGGCCGUACAGGUCAGCUGUGAAAACUCGAGGCUCAACCUCGAGACGUCGGUUGAAACCGUACGGCUAGAGUCCGGAAGAGGAGAGUGGAAUUCCCGGUGUAGCGGUGAAAUGCGCAGAUAUCGGGAAGAACACCCGUGGCGAAGGCGGCUCUCUGGGACGGUACUGACGCUGUAGCGCGAAAGCGUGGGGGAGCGAACAGG
rnacentral:rRNA from 1 species